UACAGAGGUCUCAAGCGUUGUUCGGAUUCAUUGGGCGUAAAGGGUGCGUAGGCGGCGCGGUAAGUCGGGUGUGAAAUCUUGGAGCUUAGCUCCGAAACUGCAUUCGAUACUGCCGUGCUUGAGGACUGGAGAGGAGACUGGAAUUUACGGUGUAGCGGUGAAAUGCGUAGAUAUCGUAAGGAAGACCAGUGGCGAAGGCGGGUCUCUGGACAGCUCCUGACGCUGAGGCACGAAGGCCAGGGGAGCAAACGGG
rnacentral:rRNA from 1 species